rnacentral:misc_RNA from 1 species
UACGGAGGGUGCAAGCGUUGUCCGGAAUCAUUGGGUGUAAAGGGUGCGUAGGCUGGCGCCUAAGUCGGAGGUGAAAUCUUGCCGCUUAACGGUAAAAGUGCCUCCGAUACUGGGUGUCUUGAAUCUGACAGAGGUCGGUGGAAUUCGUGGUGUAGCGGUGAAAUGCAUAGAGAUCACGAAGAACAUCAGUGGCGAAGGCGGCCGGCUGGGUCAGUAUUGACGCUGAGGCACGAGAGCGUGGGGAGCAAACAGG